GACGAACGCUGGCGGCGUGCUUAACACAUGCAAGUCGAACGGAAAGGCCCUGCUUUUGUGGGGUGCUCGAGUGGCGAACGGGUGAGUAACACGUGAGUAACCUGCCCUUGACUUUGGGAUAACUUCAGGAAACUGGGGCUAAUACCGGAUAGGAGCUCCUGCUGCAUGGUGGGGGUUGGAAAGUUUCGGUGGUUGGGGAUGGACUCGCGGCUUAUCAGCUUGUUGGUGGGGUAGUGGCUUACCAAGGCUUUGACGGGUAGCCGGCCUGAGUGGGUGACCGGCCACAUUGGGACUGAAAUACGGCCCAGACUCCUACGGGAGGCAGCAGUGGGGAAUAUUGCACAAUGGGCGGAAGCCUGAUGCAGCAACGCCGCGUGCGGGAUGACGGCCUUCGGGUUGUAAACCGCUUUCGCCUGUGACGAAGCGUGAGUGACGGUAAUGGGUAAAGAAGCACCGGCUAACUACGUG
rnacentral:rRNA from 1 species